GGAGAUGAGGCCAGGAGGGAACAGAAACUUGCCACACUGGGCCUUGGGGAUGCCCCAGCUUUGACAUUGUUGUUUGGGAGCCACGGAAGGGUUUUGAGCAGAGGAGUGGCGUGAUUAGAAAAUUACCCCUGUUGAGAACCACUGGGCUAGACACUCAAGAUUCCAGCCCUCAUGGGGCUUACAGUUCAGCCUAGGAGCCACUGGAGAUAAUGGCCAGUCAUAAUACAGUGUCAUGAUUAUAAUUGGGGAAAGUGAAAAUUCACCCAGAGCUGGUCUAAGCUCUGCUGCUGAAACAGCGUGUCACAUACUUAACAGCCUAAAUUUAUACAGAUGCGUUCUCUUACAGUUCUGGAGGCCAGAAGGCCAAAAUCAGUUGAAAAGGCCAGGUAUCACGGGGCUAGAUCCCUCUGGAGGCAAUAAGAGAAGUAUUUUCUUACUUUUUUUUUUUUUUUUCCAGCUUUGGGAAGCCAACUGCAUUCCUUGGCUUGUGCCUCCUUCCUCACAUCCAUGUCACCUUCUUCCUGUGCUGUAAUUGUACCUCCUUCUGCCUCCCUCGUAUGAGGAAACGUGAUUCUACCAUUGGGCCCUCCUGGAUCAUCUGGGUUACUCUCCCACUUCAAGGCCCCUAAUUUAAUCACAUCUGCAGUCUCUUCUGCUAUGUAAGUGGAGAAGCCAUGUUCAAGGCCCCAGUGUCAAGAUUCUCUAUCACUCGAUUUGUGGACACCCCACACAGCUCAAGUCCCCAAGAAGUACCAAGGCCCAGAGCCUCCCUGCAGGCUCUCUUGGGUCACUGGGAAGCAAGUAGGGGAUGAUUCUUCACCUUGAGAAGGCCUCAAACAGCUUCCCAACUGUGCGGCCUGUGGCUGGACUCAGCCUCGAGAGCAGUCCACUUGACAUGUUUCCAGGUCCCCAAGCAACAAGAUGACUGAACAGAGCUGCUCAGCUCCUGGGAGCUCUCCAGGGGCCUCCUGAAGGCAGCAUCCAGGUGUGAGCUCUAGAUACAGGUCAUCGGGUUUGAACUGGGAGUAGCCUGGAGAGGUGGCCCAGGGCCAAGGUCCCAGGUCUCUGGCCUUCAUUUCUCCUUGCUCCUUCUCAGACAUGAUCGUUGCCCUUCAACAAGAGAGUCGAGUCUACUCACAGAGACAAAGCUAAGUUCAAAUAUCAGCGCCACGCUCUCUAACUGUGUGACCUUGGGCAAGUUGAUUUAUUAGAAGGGCUUCAUGCGUCUCUGUUUUGUUCACUGUUCUAUUCCUAGAGCCAAAAACAUAGUGGCAGAGGGUGGAAUCUAAAAGGCGC
rnacentral:lncRNA from 1 species